UAUCUCUCCGUACGGGGAAGGAUGAGAAGCUUCGACUAAGGUUCGAUUCGAGCGCAGCGAGAAAGCGUUGCCGCAGGCAACGACC
rnacentral:sRNA from 2 species